UACGAAGGGGGCUAGCGUUGCUCGGAAUUACUGGGCGUAAAGCGCGCGUAGGCGGCUCGUUAAGUCGGGGGUGAAAUCCUGGAGCUCAACUCCAGAACUGCCUUUGAUACUGGCGAUCUUGAGUCCGGGAGAGGUGAGUGGAACUCCGAGUGUAGAGGUGAAAUUCGUAGAUAUUCGGAAGAACACCAGUGGCGAAGGCGGCUCACUGGCCCGGUACUGACGCUGAGGUGCGAAAGCGUGGGGAGCAAACAGG
rnacentral:rRNA from 1 species